CCAAGCUAACAUUUUUGAAAGAACUAAUUUUGCUUUUCAUUCACAACAAGGGUUAUGUAUACAUGCAUGCUUACCUACAGGUUUAGAUGUCAUUCAACUCAACUCCAUGGGGUUGCAGCUGGAAAUGGAGUCAGAUUGGCAACAAAGCAUUUACUGAAUGCCUACUCAGGCUGAAAUCUUUCAGAGACAAGGUUCAAGAGAGCAAGCAAAACAUUACAGGACAAUGAACAGAUCAAGCACUCCCAGUCAAGGACUGUAUGAGUUGCCCAGAGCAAGACCUUUUAGGAUAUGGUACAUAGCUGGGAGCCUGCCAACUCCUGAUUUUGUCAUUACCCUCAGAACUCCAGAAUGUAAG
rnacentral:lncRNA from 1 species